rnacentral:rRNA from 1 species
GACGAACGCUGGCGGCGUGCCUAAUACAUGCAAGUUGAGCGCUGAAGGUUGGUACUUGUACCAACUGGAUGAGCAGCGAACGGGUGAGUAACGCGUGGGGAAUCUGCGUUUGAGCGGGGGACAACAUUUGGAAACGAAUGCUAAUACCGCAUAAAAACUUUAAACACAAGUUUUAAGUUUGAAAGAUGCAAUUGCAUCACUCAAAGAUGAUCCCGCGUUGUAUUAGCUAGUUGGUGAGGUAAAGGCUCACCAAGGCGAUGAUACAUAGCCGACCUGAGAGGGUGAUCGGCCACAUUGGGACUGAGACACGGCCCAAACUCCUACGGGAGGCAGCAGUAGGGAAUCUUCGGCAAUGGACGAAAGUCUGACCGAGCAACGCCGCGUGAGUGAAGAAGGUUUUCGGAUCGUAAAACUCUGUUGGUAGAGAAGAACGUUGGUGAGAGUGGAAAGCUCAUCAAGUGACGGUAACUACCCAGAAAGGGACGGCUAACUACGUG